GCGCGCACGCGCCACAACGCCAGCGCUUUCCCCGGCUCGUGCGGGGCCUGAGCCUCUCGGCCCGCGCCGGCUCCAUUCGCGCUAGCUGGCUCCUGCCGCCGCGUCCGCCAGGGUCGAGCGGGAGUUUGAGGAGUUGGAUGGUGAGACUCGCUGGCAGCUGCUGUACUUGAAACAAGCAGCCAUCUCGGAAUUCUAAAUGAUGAGGAGGACCAGUCUGAGGCCAAGAUGAGCUUGCCUUUCUUUGCCUGAAGAAGCCAUGUUGCGUCGUUCCAGUGAUAUUCAUUUGUAAAUCUGACAAGGUGACUUCCGGUGAUACUGAGAACGAUACUUAUUGUGGAAUCAGUCUCUUGCUGUGAAAAAACUGUAGAUGGUAAGAUAUCCCGGAGUUGAAGGAGGUUGAGCCAAGUCCUGAGAAGACGUGCUUGCCUCUCACGGAGUAUCCCAGCGGUGUGGAAGACGGUAGCUGCUGUGUGUGAAACCAGGAGCCAAGCACUAAGAGUCCUUGUUCCAUCAAAUACACGAACGUUAACAGAUGCUGUGUUAGAACACCUGUCUGCCCUCAAACCAGAUGAUGACGAGCCAUCAGGUGUGGAGCUACACUCAAGUCGGCAUCAAUGAGACAGGGUCCCUGGGAACAGUUGGCUUACACCUGCUGCUUUGUAGCUGGAGAGUGGGAGAUCUGAAAUCAGAAAGACAGCUUGUUUUGUUCUUUGAAUAUAAUAGAAGCGUUCUGCCUCUGGGCUCUGAAUGUGCUCUCUUGAUGAGUGCCAUGACGACAGCAAAAUAGUCUAGAAGAACUUCCAAGGCAGGUGACUGUGAAGAUGGCUGACAGUAUCGAAUGUCAAGGUUUCUCUGAAUGAGCCAACCUCUCACAAGUAAGAUAAUGACCCAAAUAGGAGACUGAGAAUGGAAGAUACAAAUGGACAGUGGCCUGGCCAUAUACAGCAAUAGGACUCUGACCUGGGGUCUGCAGCAACCAGCCCAGGAAGUCAACCCAUUUUCUAUAGCUUC